UACAGGGGGUGCAAACGUUGCUCGGAAUCAUUGGGCGUAAAGCGCACGUAGGCGGUUUGUUAUGUCGGAUGUGAAAGCCCUUGGCUCAACUGAGGAAGUGCACCCGAAACUGAGUGGCUUGAGUACUAAAGAGGGUCGCGGAAUUCCCGGUGUAGAGGUGAAAUUCGUAGAUAUCGGGAGGAACACCGGUGGCGAAGGCGGCGACCUGGGUAGAUACUGACGCUGAGGCGCGAAAGCGUGGGGAGCAAACAGG
rnacentral:rRNA from 1 species